rnacentral:rRNA from 1 species
GGAUUAGGUGCCCCAUUCCGGUGUGCCGAGAGGUGAAAGGUUAACUGCCUGGAGAUGAGCUCGCGUCUGAUUAGCUAGUUGGUGGUGUAAGGGACUACCAAGGCGACGAUCAGUAGCUGGUCUGAGAGGAUGAUCAGCCACACUGGAACUGAGACACGGUCCAGACUCCUACGGGAGGCAGCAGUGGGGAAUUUUCCGCAAUGGGCGAAAGCCUGACGGAGCAAUACCGCGUGAGGGAGGAAGGCUCUUGGGUUGUAAACCUCUUUUCUCAGGGAAUAAGCAAGUGAAGGUACCUGAGGAAUCAGCAUCGGCUAACUCCGUGCCAGCAGCCGCGGUAAUACGGAGGAUGCAAGCGUUAUCCGGAAUGAUUGGGCGUAAAGCGUCCGUAGGUGGCUGUGUGUGUCUAUUGUGAAAGAGUUUGGCUCAACCUUAUAAGGGCGGUGGAAACUACACACCUAGAGUGCGUUCGGGGCACAAGGAAUUCCUGGUGUAUCGGUGAAAUGCGUAUAGAUCAGGAAGAACACCCGUGGCGAAAGCGCUCUGCUUUGCCCCACUGACACUGAGGGACG